UGGGGAAUAUUGCACAAUGGGGGAAACCCUGAUGCAGCGACGCCGCGUGAAGGAAGAAGUAUCUCGGUAUGUAAACUUCUAUCAGCAGGGAAGACAAUGACGGUACCUGACUAAGAAGCCCCGGCUAACUACGUGCC
rnacentral:rRNA from 1 species